UGGGAACGUACCCUUUGGUUCGGAACAACCCAGGGAAACUUGGGCUAAUACCGGAUAAGUCCGUAAGGAGAAAGAUUUAUCGCCAAAGGAUCGGCCCGCGUCUGAUUAGCUAGUUGGUAGGGUAAUGGCCUACCAAGGCUACGAUCAGUAGCUGGUCUGAGAGGGUGACCGGCCACACUGGGACUGAGACACGGCCCAGACUCCUACGGGAGGCAG
rnacentral:rRNA from 1 species